rnacentral:rRNA from 1 species
UACGAAGGGGGCUAGCGUUGUUCGGAUUUACUGGGCGUAAAGCGUGCGCAGGCGGUUUUGUAAGCCAGAUGUGAAAGCCCCGGGCUUAACCUGGGAAUGGCAUUUGGGACUGCAAGGCUUGAGUGCGGCAGAGGAGACUGGAAUUCCUGGUGUAGCAGUGAAAUGCGUAGAUAUCAGGAGGAAUACCGAUGGCGAAGGCAGGUCUCUGGGCUGACACUGACGCUCAUGCACGAAAGCGUGGGGAGCAAACAGG